GAUUUCUUCAAAUCUCCGAUGUUGUGGAUCGGGUACAGGAAAUUGGUUUAAACGGAUUUUUUGGAAAUCAAGGACAUCUGCGAAAUGGAUCUCGAUAUUGGCAAUUAUACCGGUGAAUUCGCAUGAUUACUCAGGGACUGGGGGCUUGGAGUGGUUAACAGGGAAAUGGGUUCUCUGGUUGGUCUCAUUAAACCAACCACAGAAAACAGAGUUAAUCAUAGAAACGGACCUUAAGGGGAUCACAUUUUGGCUGGAGCUGAUGUAAGGAGGCUUAUCUGGCACGUCGAGGAGUUCGGCGUUUUUUCUAGAAUUGCAUCACUGCUGCUCGUUUUUCUUAAAAAUACAAAUUCAAGGAGCCAAGGAUCUUUGGAAGGGAUAUGUGGCGUGGAAAGGAGAGAGAGCUCACGUUUUUUUAUUCUAGUUUUGUUAGCAAAUGAUCGUGUUGGUGAUAUUGGGUUGAGUAUGUUUAUGUUUUCGGGGUAUUGGAGUUAUAAAGGAGACGCUUUCAUU